rnacentral:tRNA from 1 species
GGUGGUAGCUCAGUGGUAGAGCACUUGCCUAGCAUGUGUGAGGCACUGGGUUCAACUCUCAGCACCA